rnacentral:lncRNA from 12 species
GCUAGGCAUCACUUCUGGAAGCUUGUGAAGAUAAGAACAAUAUGAUGCACAGCAACUCAAAGAUCCUAGAGUCCCAUCCUUAAUAACAAAACUAUCAGCCUCUUAAGGACCAUAAGAUGAUGGUCUGCAUGAGUACCUGUCAAGACUUGGUCAUCCUGAUAUCCCUCUUCAUAUUAACAGAGGCCUCAAUAAAGCAAGACACAGAGGUUAAAGGUGUCUUCAGGAAGAGAUAAUAUAUGACUCACCAAGU